AACCCCAAAACCUCUACACGCUAGGGAGACUUAAAGACAAUCACAGUUCCAUCUCUCUCACUGUCCAAAGGGAACGAACCCUGACUGCACACAAGGAUGGGACCUGGAUUCCUGGACUGGAACACUGGAACACGGACUGGAACACUGGAAUACAGACUGGAACUCAGGAACAUGGGAACAGGAAGCCAGAACACAGGAACGGUGCGCACUCAGAAACAUCCUAUCAAAUUCCUUGCUGAAGCCCUAGAAUACUAUCCACUUAUCCUCAUUAAACUACAGUGGUUGAGCCAUCAGCGCUGGAUAAGUUUAAGAAAACUGGGGAAAUUAAUUCUUGGCUACUAAAGCAUAUGUUUGACUGAGUGACAGGUCUAUGAUUCUCUGCUGCUUAUAUCAGUGCUGGUGAUCUGGGUCAGCAAAACAAUUCCUCUGUCAGAAACUUAUAAAGAAAAAUGGGAAUGGGACAUUUAUUAAUGAGCCAGUGGUUUCCACUGUCAUGAAAUGCUCCUGUAUUCCUGGCAAUACAUUUAAUCAGUGUAAACGUGGCACCAUCCCUUACACUGGGGAAGAGCUUUCUGUAAAACAGCCUGCUUCAUAUUGCUCCUUAAAGCUCCCCUCUGUUGUUCUGCUUCCAGUAAAUGAGACAAUGGUUAAGCCAGCUGGUGUGCUGUGAGCGCUGCUUAUUGUGUGAAUCAUAAUAAUCUCAUUGUUACCUUGUACUCCUCUGCUUGUUUCUUGUAUCUACCUGUUGUCUCUGAUCAGAUACUGAGACAGAGCUGUUUGGUCAAGAUCAGUCUGUUUCAUGUGUAUGUGCACAGUCUCCAUCUCAAAAGAGCUCUGGUCCUGGGCAAUACAUGUAAUAAUGAAGUGAUGAAUGGUGAGACAUGGGCUCAAUUCAAAUAUUGCACUGCAGCCUGUCAUAACUCUAGUCCCAGAUUUGGACCUUAGCGUCCAAAAUAUGGGGGUUAGCAUGAAAACCUCCAAGCUUAGUUACCAGCUUGAACCUGGUACUUGCUGCCACCACCCAAAAAAUUAGAGUGUUUUAGGGCACUCUGGUCCCCCUGAAAAACCUUCCCUGGGGACCCCAAGACCCAAAUCCCUUGAGUCUCACAACAAAGGGAAAUAAUCCUUUUUCCCUUCCCCCCUCCAGGUGCUCCUGGAGAGAUACACAGACACAAGCUCUGUGAAUCCACACAGAGUGACUCCCCCUCUCUGUUCCCAGUCCUGGAAACAAAAGCACUUUCCUCUUCACCCAGAGGGAAUGCAAAAUCAGGCUAGCAAAUCCAACACACACAGAUCUCCCCCUGAUUUCUUCCUCCCACCAAUUCCCUGGUGAGUACAGACU
rnacentral:lncRNA from 1 species